ACUUAGCUGACGAGUUCGAAAUAGGACGAAAUACGCUUUGUCCUGGAU
rnacentral:hammerhead_ribozyme from 1 species